AUGUUGUCGCUUAAUCGAAAUUCUGUUGCUCGUAGCCGGAACCACGGAGAUGGUAGGGAUGAGGAUCCUCCCGACCAGCCUUCAUUGGCAAAGUUCAUGCUAGAGGUUGAGAUGAACAAGCGUGAGACCAACCUCUUGUUAGCACAUAUAGAGGAGAACACCGCACCUCAGUGCAAAGAGUCAGCGACCAUCUAUGAUUUCAUUGGUUUGAAACCACCUACCUUCCAUCAUUCCAUUGAACCACUUGAUGCAGAUGACUGGCUCCAUAGUAUCACACACAAGCUGCGUUCCACGAACGUAGCUGAAGAUGACAAGGUCACCUAUGCUACAUACCACCUAGAAGGUCCUGCUAGUCAUUGGUGGCAGAAGUAUGAGGCUAUGCUUCCAACUUGCCAGAUAACCACCUGGAGAGAUUUCACUGAGGCUUUUCGCGAGCAUCACAUUCCUCAGGCUCUCAUUGACCGUAAGAGAGAAGAGUUCUGUAGUUUCACCCAGAGUAAGAUGGUUGUUGAUUCUUAUAGUAGAGAGUUUGAGAACCUUGCCCGCUAUGCUACAGAAGAAGUGUCCACAGACGCCAAGAAGCAGGCUAGGUUCCAGAAGGGUCUCAACCCCAAGUUGCGUCAUGAUCUCCACUUGCAUCAUUGCAAUACAUUCCAGGCUCUUGUGAACAAGGCCAUUAACGCAGAGACAGCUCAGCUUACUUACGAGGAGUCUCGUAAGCACACCCGUGAUUUGGGUUCUUCCUCCGAUUCUAGUUCCCAGAAGCGUCGGAUUUGGGUUCCGAACUCCGCUCUUCCACCCGGUUAUACACCGAGGCCUUCUUGUGUGGCACCUCACCUAGUUCAACAGUAUGCUACACCCAUGCCUAUUGGUAGACCGUUUGUCAAUGUGGGUCCACAUCCUACUUCAGGGACUUGCUUCACAUGCGGAGAGCCAGGACACUAUGCACGUGACUGCUCUCAAACCAACUAUGCUCCACCCCAGCCUGAGAAGUCUGUUGGCCGUGGUAAGCCAUCACGCAAGAUUAUCAGUGUCAAGUCAGCUCCCACUGAACGUGGAUGUGUGCAUCACGUCUUAGCUAAAGACGCUCAUGAUGAUCCGGAUGUCGUUCUUGGUACACUCCUUGUCAAUUGCCAUCCAGCAUCGGUUUUGUUCGAUACUGGAGCAUCUCAUUCCUUCAUUUCCGAAAGCUACGCUAACUUGCACAACAUGUCAUUUUGUGAUAUGCCCUCUCCACUAGUCAUUCAAACUCCUGGAUCCAAAUGGCAAACUUCUAGUGUAAGCCAUGGUAAUAAAAUCCUUGUUGACAGACUUGUAUUCCUUGCAUCACUUAUAGCCCUCAAGUCUAUAGAUAUUAACAUCAUCUUGGGUAUGGACUGGAUGAAAGCUCAUUAUGCCAAGAUUGAUUGUUACACUAGGUCUGUUCAGCUUACACACCCAUAUGGCAAAUUAGUCACUGUCUCCACCAUAGUUGCAAAGCGUCAACUCUAUUCUCGUAAUGCCAGCCCUCUUCCAGACCUUGAGGAUAUCUUGGUAGUCCGUGACUUUCUAGAUGUCUUUCCAGAGGAACUGCCAGGUAUUCCACCUAACAGAGAUGUAGAGUUUGUCAUAGACCUUAUCCCAGGAACCGCCCCAAUU
rnacentral:rRNA from 1 species